AUGUGGUUACAUAGGCCUCUUCUACACCACCAUAUAAUCCAAGUUAUCCAAACAGAUAAUCUGGAUUUUAUAUGGCCAUGUAGAAGAGGCCAUGGUCCUCUGCUACCCCCAAUUCCUUUGCCGACCUUUCAUUCCACUCCAAAAAUAACUCUAAUAGUUGAAGAACGUUCAAGAGAACAUGUCCUGAAGGCUGUAGCCCAGGAAAGAAAAUUCUCAUCACCAGAAAUAUUUUCUUUGAGGCAGCUUGGAGCCUGGUUAAUGGAAUGUAAAUGCAUGUAGAAUUCUGAUAUUCUAAAUGCACUAAGGUGUUUCUGCCUUCCUUUUGUUUCCAAACACAAUCAGGUAGUAAAGUAUUCUAAAUCAGGAAAAAAGACAUUUACAUUAAAUCUACCUGGUCAACAGGCAUUUCCACUUGGAUAUCUUUGUCUUCUUGUAUCAUUUGGGCCCCUUUAAUUUCUUCAGGGGGCUGCUGAGCUUUAUAGACACUAGGUUCUGAAAAUUAAUUGUAUUUAAAAAAAAACCCACAUCAACCAUUAUCUACUGCAUGCUGUUGAAAAUCAUUAGAAUAAAUACAUUCUAUUAACCCUUAAGGCUGAAAAGCAAUUAUUUCUGAUGAACAUUGUUUGUACAAAAACAAGCUAUUGCUCUAUUUUCAAGAAAAUCCAACCUAAUAAUGAUCACAAUGCUGAAACCUUUCAUUUACAUAUUAAAGAACACCAGUAGUAACAGAAAACAUCGAAUAAAAUAUUCAAAGCUUUAAGACUGAAUUGAAAUAACAUUAAUAAUGGCUAAAAGCCAGUCUCCAUAAAGUGAAAGUGGCAGUUGAGAUGCAAAUGUAACUUUUAAAAAUAUCAAACUCCUGUGAAAAACACAAGAAGGAAGUAGCACAAUUUUCUGGUGGGUUGGUACUCUGUCCAGCAAGAGGCAGCACAAAAUAAAAUGAAGUGAGGAAAACCACCAUGGCAAGAGUUUGUGAAUAUAAACAACACAGUACUUCAAAACACUCUGCCUAGCAAAAAUGUCUCUUAUAUCUACUUUAGACUGAGGUUAUAAUUUUUCUAUGUUGUAUUAUGAAACCAUGUCUCAUCCUAGGGAAUAGUCAAAACAACAAAAAAUGAUAUAAUUCUACACUACUCAGGGUUCUU
rnacentral:lncRNA from 1 species